rnacentral:rRNA from 1 species
ACUCCUACGGGAGGCAGCAGUGGGGAAUAUUGCGCAAUGGGCGGAAGCCUGACGCAGCGACGCCGCGUGAGGGAUGAAGGCCUUCGGGUCGUAAACCUCUUUCAGCAGGGAAGAAGCGUGAGUGACGGUACCUGCAGAAGAAGCACCGGCUAACUACGUGCCAGCAGCCGCGGUAAUACGUAGGGUGCAAGCGUUGUCCGGAAUUAUUGGGCGUAAAGAGCUCGUAGGCGGUCUGUCGCGUCUGCUGUGAAAACUCAGGGCUUAACCCUGAGCUUGCAGUGGGUACGGGCAGACUAGAGUGCGGUAGGGGAGACUGGAAUUCCUGGUGUAGCGGUGAAAUGCGCAGAUAUCAGGAGGAACACCGGUGGCGAAGGCGGGUCUCUGGGCCGUAACUGACGCUGAGGAGCGAAAGCAUGGGGAGCGAACAGGAUUAGAUACCCUGGUAGUCCAUGCCGUAAACGUUGGGCGCUAGGUGUGGGGCUCUUUCCAUGAGUUCCGUGCCGCAGCUAACGCAUUAAGCGCCCCGCCUGGGGAGUACGGCCGCAAGGCUAAAACUCAAAGGAAUUGACGGGGGCCCGCACAAGCGGCGGAGCAUGCGGAUUAAUUCGAUGCAACGCGAAGAACCUUACCAAGGCUUGACAUGGGGUGAAAACUCGCAGAGAUGCGGGGUCCGCAAGGGCGCCUCACAGGUGGUGCAUGGUUGUCGUCAGCUCGUGUCGUGAGAUGUUGGGUUAAGUCCCGCAACGAGCGCAACCCUCGUUCUAUGUUGCCAGCACGUGAUGGUGGGGACUCAUAGGARACUGCCGGGGUCAACUCGGA